UAUAAUUUAUUAAGAUGAUAGCAAAGCAUAGAAAAACAGGCAUUACAAAGUUUUCUGUUUGCACGGAAGGAUAAGUUUUACAGGUGUAAAAUUCACAGGUUUGCAAAAAAAUUAAAUGUGUAAAAACAUAACACACAGUUAUUUCUUGGACAUCUCUCGCCCCAUAACAGCUUUUUUUGUGUUUCUCUCUGGAUGUAAGAGGAUGAUGUAGCACUUCGGGGCAAAAAUGGCCACCAGUAAUCCAAAACUGGAUGCCAGGAUGGCAAAAAUCUCUACAGCUACCGCAUAUUUCCCUGGUGAGCUGACAUAAGCUGGAACAAACGCAAUCCACACAGCACAAAAGAUCAACAAACUAAAGGUAAUGAACUUUGCUUCAUUAAAACUAUCUGGAAGAUUCCUUGCUAGAAAAGCUAACAUGAAGCUCACAGCUGCCAGAAAACCAAUGUAGCCCAGCAGGACAGCGAAUCCAGCCACUGAACCAAUAGCACAUUCAUAAACUAUUUUGGAGCUGACAUACUGACUGUUUUUAUGAGGUGUUGGAGAUGCAGUUGAGAGCCAAACAACACAUAUUGCCACUUGGAGGGCAGUUAGGACCAAAACGGUCCCUCUUUGUUGGGCUGCUCCGAACCAUUUCAUAGCACCUUUACCCUCUGGUCGAGAUGACUUAAACACGGCUAUUACCACCAUAGUCUUGACCAGAAUGCUGGAGACGCACAGAACAAAGCUAAUGCCAAACACAGCAUGUCUUAACUGACACGUCCACAACUGUGGUCGGCCAAUAAACAGCAGCACACACAGGAAACACAGUUUGAGUGACAGCAGCAGCAGGAAGCUGAGCUCUGAAUUAUUGGCUCGAACAACUGGAGUGUUGCGGUGAUGAGCAAAAAUGAUCAUGACAACAGCACAGAAGCAGGUGCCGAGCAGAGAAGCAGUGGUCAGGGAGAUGCCCAGAGGUUCCUCAUAUGACAGAAACUCCACUUCUUUAGGGAUGCAGUGAUUUUUUUCUGGAUUGGACCAAAAGUCAUCUGGACACAAUGUGCACUCAUUUGCAUCUAUGAGAAACAGAAUAGAAAAAAAUGUAUAUUACAUUUUUAAUUUUAAAACGUUUUGAAUAGGGUAUUUUUUCACCUGUUGUAUUAGAAAUCUCUCCAUCUGCACAUGGCAGGCAGUCAAAACAGCAGACAGGAAGGCCUUUCCUCCUGGCUCGUCUGGUCCCUGGUGGGCAGCUCUCACUACACACAGACCGUGGAGGCUGAAGGAUACAUCAACUGUUAUGUACAUGCAGUUCCAGUAUAAUGCAUCUUCAUCCAUUGUGAGCACCUUCCCUGUUGCCGCCCCUUUAUCCACCACACCGACUGUGCGGACAAUGAUUGACCCAUCAGCGCUCGGCUGCCAGUUCAAUACAUCAUAGAUGGCCAGAGCAUCUCCAUUCUUAUCAAAUGACACAUGAUCCCCAAAACCUGUGGUGAAGUUUACUUUCUGUAGGACGGAGGUAAUACAAAAAUUCAUGAAGUCCCUGGAUUUCUCCACGGCGGAUGGCGAUGCCCAGUGUGCCACCCAGAAACGGCAGAAGACGCUGAGUGUGGAAUACAGGAGAGGUGGUCCAACCUUCACUUGCAAUCCACUGCUUCCCUGUCACAUUUUGCAACGCCACCUCAUCCAUUAAAGACUCACUUCUCACAGUAUGGUGGUUGUGGCUCGGAUCUAAAGCUCAGCUCUGGGAACACUGUAAGAGCGUGAACUUCAAACAGGCCUCCAAUGACAAGGUCUCCGUCCUGAUACAUCCCAUUCAGCUUGAAAUGUCCCUGAAGCCUACAAGUGCUUGAACUGACCUCGGAAGCUACAGACAUGCAGUUAAAGGACAGGUACACAAAACAGCCCCAACACACUGGAUAUAGCAAUAGAAGGAGUAGAACCUGGAUCCCCCACAAUUCCAAUCACUGGUGGUGGUCCGGUGCAGUCAACAUCAAACAAAGACUCCUGUGUCCCACUCACAAGUGCUAUGGCAGCACGGAACGCCAUUUC